rnacentral:tRNA from 1 species
GGGGCUGUAGCUCAGUGGUAGAGCACUUGCCUCUUGUGUGAGGCACUGGGUUCGCUCCUCAGCACCA